ACCCGGGGUAGUUCAGUUGGUAGAGCAUACGACUCUUAAUCUCAGGGUCUUGCGUUCGAGGCCCAUGUUGGGCA